rnacentral:rRNA from 1 species
CCUACGGGUGGCAGCAGUCGAGAAUCAUUCACAAUGGGGGAAACCCUGAUGGUGCGACGCCGCGUGGGGGAAUGAAGGUCUUCGGAUUGUAAACCCCUGUCAUGUGGGAGCAAAUUACAACGAUAGUACCCCACGAGGAAGAGACGGCUAACUCUGUCCCAGCAGCCGCGGUAAUACAGCGGGCUCAAGCGGUGUUCGGAAUCACUGGGCGUAAAGGGUGCGGAGGAUGUUUCGUAAGUCGUGUGUGAAAGGCGCGGGCUCAACCCGCGGACGGCACAUGAUACUGGGAGACUAGAGUGAGGGAGGGGUAGGCGGAAUUCUCGGUGUAGCGGUGAAAUGCAUAGAUAUCGAGAGGAACACUCAUGGCGAAGGCAGGGUACUGGACAGUAACUGACGCUGAGGCACGAAGGCGAGGGGAGCGAAAAGGAUUAGAUACCCGAGUAGUC